GGCGGACGGGUGAGUAACACGUGGGCAACCUGCCUGUAAGACUGGGAUAACGCCGGGAAACCGGGGCUAAUACCAGAUAGUUUUUUCCUCCGCAUGGAGGAAAAAGGAAAGGCGGCUUCGGCUGCCACUUACAGAUGGGCCCGCGGCGCAUUAACUAGUUGGCGGGGUAACGGCCCACCAAGGGAACGAUGCGUAGCCGACCUGAGAGGGUGAUCGGCCACAUUGGGACUGAAACACGGCCCAAACUCCUACGGGAGGCAGCAGUAGGGAAUCUUCCCCAAUGGACGAAAGUCUGACGGAGCAACCCCCCGUGAGUGAAAAAGGCCUUCGGGUCGUAAAACUCUGUUGCCGGGGAAAAACAAGUGCCGUUCGAACAGGGCGGCGCCUUGACGGUACCCGGCCAGAAAGCCACGGCUAACUACGUGCCAGCAGCCGCGGUAAUACGUAGGUGGCAAGCGUUGUCCGGAAUUAUUGGGCGUAAAGCGCGCGCAGGCGGCUUCUUAAGUCUGAUGUGAAAUCUUGCGGCUCAACCGCAAGCGGUCAUUGGAAACUGGGAGGCUUGAGUGCAGAAGAGGAGAGUGGAAUUCCACGUGUAGCGGUGAAAUGCGUAGAGAUGUGGAGGAACACCAGUGGCGAAAGCGGCUCUCUGGUCUGUAACUGACGCU
rnacentral:rRNA from 1 species